rnacentral:rRNA from 1 species
CCUACGGGUGGCAGCAGUGAGGAAUAUUGGUCAAUGGACGCAAGUCUGAACCAGCCAUGCCGCGUGCAGGAUGACGGCCCUAUGAGUUGUAAACUGCUUUUGUACGAGGGUAAACUCCGAUAUGUAUAUCGGUUUGCAUGUAUCUUAUGAAUAAGGAUCGGCUAACUCCGUGCCAGCAGCCGCGGUAAUACGGAGGAUCCGAGCGUUAUCCGGAUUUAUUGGGUUUAAAGGGUGCGUAGGCGGUUUGAUAAGUCAGUGGUGAAAUGUUGGGGCUCAACCCCGAAACUGCAGUUAAUACUGUUGGACUUGAGAAUAGUUGAGGUAGGCGGAAUGUAUGGUGUAGCGGUGAAAUGCUUAGAGAUCAUGCAGAACACCGAUUGCGAAGGCAGCUUACCAGACUAUAUCUGACGUUGAGGCACGAAAGCGUGGGUAGCAAACAGGAUUAGAUACCCGGGUAGUC